rnacentral:rRNA from 1 species
AUUGAACGCUGGCGGCAGGCCUCACACAUGCAAGUCGAACGAGUGGUGGACGGGUGAGUAAUGGCUGGGAAACGGCCUGAUGGAGGGGGAUAACAAAUGGAAACGGUAGCUAAUAACGCAUACCAUCGGAUGAGCCCAGAUGGGAUUGGCUAGUAGGUGGGGUAAAGGGUCACCUAGGCGACGAGCCCUAGCUGGUCUGAGAGGAGGACCAGCCACACUGGAACUGAUCCACGGUCCAGACUCCUACGGGAGGCAGCAGUGGGGAAUAUUGCACAAUGGGCGCAAGCCGGAUGCAGCCAUGCCGCGUGUAUGAAGAAGGCCUUCGGGUUGUAAAGUACUUUCAGCGGGGAGGCGUUACCCGCAGAAGAAGCACCGGCUAACUCCGUGCCAGCAGCCGCGGUAAUAC